UAUGACCAAUCAGUGACAGUAGCUAAGUUUCCACCCACUUGUCAAUCAAAUUAUGUGAAGUUCGGUAAAAAAAACUCAUGUGAAUAAAGCUGGUGAACGUGUGUUUCUAUCCAACGGCUUUAAAGCCGAUAAAACCGGUGGUGAUGACGUCACAUGUUGUUUCGCGAUCAAAUUGGCAUAUGAAAUUGAUUUUAGACAUUUUAAGGUGUUUCUGUUCAUUUUCGCACUGAAUCGCACAACAUACAAGCUAACAUUAGCGGAC